GCGUAAGCGCACGCAGGCGGUCUGUCUAGUCGGAUGUGAAAUCCCCGGGCUCAACCUGGGAACUGCAUUCGAAACUGGCAGGCUAGAGUCUUGUAGAGGGGGGUAGAAUUCCAGGUGUAGCGGUGAAAUGCGUAGAGAUCUGGAGGAAUACCGGUGGCGAAGGCGGCCCCCUGGACAGAGACUGACGCUCAGGUGCGAAAGCGUGGGGAGCAAACAGGAUUAGAUACCCUGGUAGUCCACGCCGUAAACGAUGUCUACUUGGAGGUUGUGCCCUUGAGGCGUGGCUUCCGGAGCUAACGCGUUAAGUCGACCGCCUGGGGAGUACGGCCGCCAGGUUAAAACUCAAAUGAAUUGACGGGGGCCCGCACCAGCGGUGGAACAUGGGGUUUAAUUCGAUGCCACGCGAAGAACCUUACCUACUCUUGACCUCCAGAGAACUUUGCAGAGAUGCUUUGGUGCCUUCUGGAACUCUGAGACAGGUGCUGCAUGGCUGUCGUCAGCUCGUGUUGUGAAAUGAUGGGUUAAGUCCCGCAACGAGCGCAACCCUUAUCCUUUGUUGCCAGCGGUUAUG
rnacentral:rRNA from 1 species